AAUGAAAUGAUCCAAAAAUAGUAUAUAUAUUUUAGAAAUAUUAAAAACUUUCUAUUGAUUUUUUUAUUU
rnacentral:tRNA from 1 species